GGACGAAUGACGCCCGGGCUGGGGUGAUCCGUUUAUCAGGACACGGCAUCGAUGGUGUUGAGAGCAUGCAGGAGCAAUAAAUGAAACAUGGGUGAUUUCGUUAAAAUGCACAAUACGAUGGAGUACUCGGAUAUACAAAUUGAAUUUGGGUAGAUGGGAGCGAGCUCGACAUAAAUUGCAUCGGGUCACCUGGGUGCAGGUUGCAGCCUGGAACAGCUUGUACCCCCGAUUGGUCAGGCCCAUCAUGUAUUGGAAUCAUCCUGCACCAAAAUCCUACUGCCAGCGGCAUUCCCCAAUCUCUUUGAGCUCGACGGAGAUAGCGAGGUGAUUUCGUCUGCGGCGGCGCUCCUUCCACGCUGGAGCGAGGCCAAGCGACCGGCGAAGAAUUGAGCAAAUUCUCCAUCUGCAAAGCUCACGGGCACCGAGUUCUUCGGAGAUCUGGUGCCAAAUUUGAAACGUCUGGCGGAAAUACGCAGCGGCGGGGAGGAGGUAGAGGCAGUCUGCUUCCGUUCAACCAUGGUGCCGGAGAUAGCCACAGCGCUGAAUCAAAAGGCUCGGGCACACAGGCUACCUGCAGAGGCGUCCCGGACAGGGUGCUUGAUGCAGAUAGAUCCGUCAAUGGAGGCGAAAAUGGGGGAAACGGCUGUCAUCUCUUGAUGGAAAACGAAGGCACCGGGUAGGGAAGCCUCCCCCUGAGAGAGCAAUGGUCAUUGAAUUUUCAUGCUUGAGUGCUCAGGAACAAACUUUGCGCGACUACCCAAUUAGAGGAAAUGGUGAUGUACAUCAGUACAUGGUACCUAGGAGCAUUGGUCCAGACCGAUCGCUCUGUUAGAAACUUUAAAUUGUGCGUGUGAGACCUCUGUGUGACCACUGCGACUUCUGGGCGAAGGUUCCGUGUAUAUAUGUGUCAUGCACUCAGCCUUCGGCGCCAUGGUUACUCUACAUGCACUAAGAUUUAUAACGAAAAAGAGAAAAAAAGACGUUCCGUGAACCCCAGCUAUCUUUUCUAGGUUCGCUAAAAAUUAAUUCCUAUUUGAUCUUUGUGGUUGUCAUUGAGUUCAAAUAAGUUAGCAUUAGCGACUAAACUUGACAAACUCCUGAAGUAAGAAGUCCUGCUGAUUUGACUAGCCAGGCACACUUCAUGUUAUACAGAAUACAUCAUUUGACAUUGAUACUUUGGAUGAAAGGAGAACUACAACUCAGCGUUUCAUGUGGUGUGUUAGUCCAAAACCAGCCUGCUGAAUCCUAUUCGUUAAGUUCAUGGAUUGAUAGUAAAGACUGUACCUACACUGGAACCACCAUAAACCGUGUUCUUCACUGGUAAAAGUAUGCUACUUAUGUACAUUGCUUGUUGAAUUAUCAAUAUCAAUCAAUGAACAUUUAAAAGUAAAAAUAUGUUGGUUAUUUCUUAACCUGUCGUUGCUUUAUCACUGGGAGCCACAAUAAAAUGAUAGGGACUGUAGUAUCACCUGCUAGGAAAAUAUACGGGCCAUUGAUUUUUUUUGUCCGGCGACCAGCCAAGAGCCAAAUAUUGGUUCCUCGGGCAUAUUCAUCAAAUUUCCUUUGGUGCAUUGUUGUUCAUUUCAGAUCUCUUACCACUACCACUCUGUUCAGUGCUCAAAUUAAUUUACUGCAGGCAUCCAUGCAGGAGAAUGUCUUAGUUCAGUAAAAUUGUUUGAAUAUAAUUGGCAUUGCCACCAUUUCUUUUCAUGGUGCUCCUGAAUAUGUUUUUGUUUUGCAGGGUCAUCCAAGUCCUAUGGAUGAUAUUCAACCAGCUGUAAAAAGUGCCUUGAGGAGGGCUUACAAGCAAGGAACUAGUUAUCCGAUUAGCAGAUC